UACGAAGGGUGCAAACGUUGCUCGGAAUUAUUGGGCGUAAAGCGCACGUAGGCGGCAUUGUAAGUCCCAUGUGAAAGCCCACGGCUUAACCGUGGAAGUGCAUGGGAAACUGCAGUGCUUGAGUACUUAAGAGGAUCGCGGAAUUCCCGGUGUAGAGGUGAAAUUCGUAGAUAUCGGGAGGAACACCAGUGGCGAAGGCGGCGAUCUGGGAAGAUACUGACGCUGAGGUGCGAAAGCGUGGGGAGCAAACAGG
rnacentral:rRNA from 1 species